UUUUCUUUCAGAUAUUGAGGCACAGUACUAUAACACCUUGGUGAUAUACCUCCUCUGAGGGUCCUGAAUCAGUUACAUCCACCCCUCAGGGCUGGACCCACUGACAGUGGUCUCCUCCAUCACUUCGCUGGCUCUUCUCAGCUUACUACAAGAUUCUUACGCUGCCAAAGAGGAUCGGGGAGAAGGAUGUUCAUUCUGGUGUCUGACUGUACCCAUGUCAGUGAGUGACUCAUGACUUCUCCAUUUGACUGUCUGGGUGACAAGGAAGAGCAUUAAUAAAACUGGAAAUCAAGCCUACAGAAAAGAGAACUGAGGUAAGAAAUGCUACUUUGGUAUUGUGAACAGAGGACACGUCUAUAUGAGAUGCCUUACUGAGCAGUAGUCCAACUUACUGUGCAGUAAGUGUCACCAUCUACACAUGCAGAUGCUUACUGAACGGUAAAUUGGUCUACUCCAUGGUUAAUUUGCUACCUGUAAAUGCAAAUUAACUGGUAGGUAGCAACUUAAAUGCAAAGUAGUUACUGCAUAGUAAAGCACGUGUAGCUGCUGCCUGGGAGUAAAUUUGUUCCUGGUCAGCCCCACUACCAGGCGUCCUCCUGCUGGCUAGCCCCAAGGCCAUGGGACUUGGAAUUUCUCCUGCCCUACCGCUGGGGCAGCUCUUUGCCUGGCCCUUAAAAGGGACUCUGGGCCCCUGAACCACCUGCAGCCAGCCUCUGGUCACUGGGAUCCUCAUCAGUGGCCCCUGGCCAGCUGCAGCAGCCUACCUGGACCCCGACACUGGUCCCUGACAGAGCUCUGCCUCCUACCUGCCUGGCACACACCAUGCCCCUGCACUGGAUGUUGCAGGCACCUGCUCAAGCCCAGCAAAACUCUGGACCACCUGCAGUCAGCCUCUGGUCACUAGGUCCCACUCCAGUGGCCCCCAGCCAACCACAGCAGCCUGCCUGGACCCUGGCACUCAUUCCUGGCACAGCCUUUCCACCCACCUGUUUGUCCUGUACUGUGUUGCUACACUGAGCACCAAAGACACCUGCCCAAGCCUGGCAGCACCCAGGGCCUCCUGGCAGCAUGGAGGCCCUGUGGGCCAUCGAGGGAGCCAUACUGGCAUCAUCCCUAAUGCCACACACCACCUCCCAGAGUCAGAACUGGUCCCAGGAGGAGACUGCAGACCUCAUGGCAUUGUGGGGUGAGACUGAGGUCUUCUGCUGGUUUUCCUGCAGCAGGUGCUCCUCUGCCUAUGUAUAUGAGGUCUUGUUAGGCUGUGUGUAGGAGCAAGGGCAUGACCUGUCAGCAUGCCCGUGCUGCGUAAACGUGAAGCUGUUAUGCACACAGUGGGUGACCAUCACCGACCACAACUGCCAGCAAGUCCUUUCCCUUUAUGCUGCACCUGGACCAAAUCAUGGUGCCCCAGGACCCUGGCCAAAGCCAUGCCAUACAUUUUAACAAGGGAAGCCUGCACAAGCCUCUGCUGCAGCCUGGCAGCCUCAAUGAGGCAGCAUCAGCAGAGGAAUACCUCUUUGGGUGCUAGGACCCCGUCCUACAACAUUCCCUACCCCCAGUCUCAUCCAACAUCUGCCCUGCCAGUUCUAGGUGUGCAGCCCUGCCUGGAAGGCCAGCCCAGCCAUGGCACUGCCAUCCUUCAGCAGCUCCAGCUUCUCCCAGGAGGGAUCCUCUGCCCAGGCAGCCAGACUCCAUGCCCCUGCACUCAAGGACACUACUGGGAGCUUCACAUCUUCACCAGUGGGGACAGACUUAGGCCACUGGGUCCACUUGCCAUGCCCACCCAGUAAGCCCCUCACAGGGGGUAGGGCCCUCCACACCUCUGCCCACCCGUUCUGCCCUGCCCAGCUGUGUUCUCCCUGGGCCCAAGAGUCCCUUUCCCACAGCAUGCAGGGUGGUGGGAGACAGGGCAAAACUUUAUUGAGCAGUCUGUGCCCACCCUCAGAUAGGCAAGCAUGGGCCCCUCUUAUGGAGAAUGCAUCAAUGCCGGUGGUGAUGUUGUCCUUGGCUUUGGGAGGCAGGGACAUGUAGUGUAGCCACAGGUAGCCCUCCAGGCAGGUGGACAUUGUGGGUAAGUGAGAGCUUGCCCACCAGACUGUCAAAGCUCAGGGUCCUGAACCAGGUUCUCAGGUGCAUUUGAGCCACCAUAGUGAGUAGCAACAGAGCAGUUCAAGGUGGGAUGGGCACCCCUUGGUCCACACAAACAGCUCCUUGCAGAUGCCGAGGACACUCUCAUUAGAGGCACAGGGAGCAGGGAGGCUUGGGGGGAGCCCGCCCCAGGGUACUUCUCCAGAGAGGCCCCCUGGGCAUAGGGCAGAGGUGUCACCAGCUCCACAUGCUAGUUGUCUGGGAGCCCCCUGGCUCCUGAACCUGGGCACUGUGGGAAAAGACUCAGGUCACUGGGCACACCUGCCACACCCACUCUGUGAGCCCCACACUGUGGGGAGGAGACAGCAUGGCAGCAUUGAAGGAGAUGGCCUGGCUUGCAGAAGGACAAGGUUGGGGAGUGAGUCUGGAGCCAUAGCAGUAGGUGCUGCCAGGAGCCAAGUCUGUUUCAGCCUGGGAAGAGGGCAGGGAAGGCAGGCUGCUUGCAGCCAGCACCAGCAGUACAUCUGCCCAUGCUGAGCAAGUAAGGAUGGGGGGUUAUUUGGCAGCCACCUGUGCCAGGACCUGCCCGGCUGACUUACCAUGGUCCCUCAGCACCCAUGCAAACACAACCCCCUAUCUGAGGCUGGGCAGUGCACAAUUCCCUGGUAUAGUGCAUGUUAUCUCGGAAAUGUUGAAAACUCACAAACUGCCUCUUUUUCCUGACUCUGUAGGUCCUGAAGCUGAAUGCAGGGGAGAGGCACCAGUUGACAACAGGGAUGCACUAUCAAGGUCACCGCCAGUCUGGCAGCUGAGGACCUAGGACUGACGCCAGCUGCUGGACCACCUGGUCACUGUGGCUGAAGAGUGGCUUGCGGAAUCAUAGGCUUGGCGCACAGAAGAUGUCACACACAAGGUGGAGAGGGCUGGCAGAAGGACCAGGCAGACAGGAUUCUGGCCCUUGAGGAGAGACACUUGGAGGCUGAGGAGGGGCAGGCUGCCAUGGUGGGCAAAGCAGUGGAGGCGACAGAGGAAGACCACUGGGUGCUGGAUACAUGCACAGUACUGGCCCUGCUGCAGGCAGCUUCUGCUCUGGGGACACAUGGAAUUGGUCUGAGUGGCAGGGCAAGGCCCAGACUGGGGGAUGGCUGGCAGGGGUCCCGGGACAGGUGCUGGGGCAGGGGCACCUGGCCAGUGUAGGUGCUGCUGCACUUCAGCCCAUGCCCACUGAGGGGUUUGCUGAUGGACAACAGGCAGCUGCCAGGGGGCAGGUAGGGCUGCAUCCAGCAGCUGGAAGUGGGCAACAUGAAGGUGACCACCAGGGUCAAGAUGGUAUCCUGUCACUGUCACUGUCACUGCAGCUGGCACUCCUGGUGUCAGGUGUCCUCCACCCACUGAGCUUCCUCUGCCCAGGCCUCACAGAUGUUAUGCAGCACGCAGACUGCAACAAUAACCCUGAAGAUGUUGGUCUUGGUGACUUCAAAGCAAGUGGUCAGGGUGUACCAGCAUCCCUUGAGGCAGCCAAAGGUGCACUCCACCAGCACACAGGUCCAGCCCAGACAAUUGUUGAACUGUACCUCGUGGGGGUCUGGCUGGCCGGUAUAGGGCCACAUAAGCCAGGGGAGAAGUGAGUAGAUGGGGUCCCCGAUGAGGAGCGGUGGGACCACCACCACAUCCAGCUGGAGGUAUGGCACUCCUGGUGCCAAGCACCCAUUUUCCACCAGGGCUGGUAUGGUGGAGUUGAGGAAGACAUAGGCAUUGUGGGUGCUGCCCACCCAACUGGCACUGACAUUGGUGAAAGCACUGUGGUUGUUGACAGUUUUUUUAUGCUGCCAUGUGCAUGAAGCAUGACAGUGUGAAAGGCCUGCUGGCUGUGUUAGAGGUGGUUACUGCAGGGUGAUGGGGAUGUGGGUACCAUCUAGGGCCCAAAUACAUUGGAGGAAGCCCAGGGCAUGGAACUUCACCACCAGCUCCAGGGGUUGUACACACAGAGCACAGUGUGCCCCAACACAUUCUGGAAGACACAACAGACCUCCAGGACACCCUUCCCAGCAGUCUUCUUGCCCAUGCUGAAGAGAUGGCCAACAUAGCACAGGCUGGCAGACAUAGGAGGGUAAUGGUCAGCCAGGUGUCCAUGGGGAGGAACCACCGCAUGGUGGUGGCCUGCUGCUUCAGAUGCAGGUGGAGCUGGUCAAGGAGCUCCUAGAAGGUGACCCAGGUCAUGCAAAAGGACUUCAGCCACUGGUUAUAUGUUUUGUUUCUCUCUACAGUUAAAUGACUGCCAAAUGAUUAUUUCUGCUGUUCAGUAGAUGAGCUAAGCCUUUUUACCAGAAGUCAAAUGUUGUUUCUAUAGUUUAGGUGUGACGCAGCCAAAGUUAGUGUCUUACAUAAACUCUGAGCCUAGUAAAAUGGAAUUAUGCUGUUAUACUGUUUGCAGCAGUGAGUAGGUUUCCUUUCUGACCUACUUUUAUCUUGCACAAAGUAAGCCAGAUCUUCUGGUUCAUUGGGUUAUUUUGUACUGCUCCCUUGUCACAAAGGUGCCCUAAGACUGGAUUCAACAGUAGAAAAAGGAUCCUCUCAGGAACAAGUGAAGUACAGCUGCCAUAUCCAGGACCAGUGUAACUGGCCAAGCAGGACUGGUGGCUGCCUGGGGCAGCAAAUUGAGAGGGGCAGCUACACAGUGUGCACACAACUUGCAAAUGCUCACUGAGGUGCUACCUCAGGAGUCUGGGCAUAUGCAGAAAUGAGCAGGGCAGCUCCAGGGCUAUCUGGUGCCUGCCCUUCCCAGAUCCCAGGUAUGUUACAAGGGAGGGUGGCAAAUGCAUUUGCCUAUGGCUGCAGAAAUCCUUGUGCUACUCUUGGCCAUAUCACAGUACUAUCUUCUCACUCACUGUAGCCAGCAUAAAAGGAAUAUUCAACACAUUCUCACCCUAUGAGGUCCUUGGCCUUCUGAACUAUCCAGAUCCAGUUUUUAGGCUACUCUAUGUACUAGAGGACUCACCUGGCCCUCAUCAAUUGUCAGGUAUCUUACAGCCACUUUUUUGUAGGCUCAGACACUUCUGAGUUGUGCUGACAACUCUUAGACCAUAGCUACUGAGUGGAAAAAGAUAUAUGGAAAAUAUGCCAGGUGGCUGUCCCUUAACUAUAAAAGGAAUAGUAUGAGAGUCUGGGAACAAAAAUUAAAGCUGAGGUUAUACAUUAUUUUUUAAAGAAUUCUUGAGCCUAUAUAUAUAGUAUAAAAUUGUUUAUGAAAAAUUAUUUAGCAGAAUUCCAUUUGCUAAAAAUCUUUAAAUGAUUUUUUGUGCCAAUUAAUUUUUCCAGAAGGAAAGUUCAAGUCCUUCAAGCUCUGAGGGACUUGAUUUCAAAUUAUUGGGUUUUUUUUCUGUCUCUCUUGUUCCAGUUUGUAUAAAGAAUAAAAGACUUGGUUGUUACCCUUA